rnacentral:lncRNA from 1 species
AAAAUUUUGUUGUUGAUAUGCAUAAAUUCAUGAAUAAUUAAUAUGUAUAAAUUAUGAAAGGAAAAGUUUGGUGUACAAAUAUUUAUUGAUAUGCAUAAAUUCAUGAAUAAUUUUUAAUUGCAAGUAUUAUAAUUUUGCAUAUUAAGAGCGAUGGACAACAAUGAGAACAAUGUUGAAUCCUCCGAGGAUUUUGAUUCUGACAACAAUUGUGGAUUGUAUUCUACUUCACCUGAGUACGAACCAAGCCCACCAAGGUCUCGCAGGCGUUUAGAUGAAGAUGAUCCUAAAUACGAUCCAACCGCCGAUCAUCAGGUACCUGCAUGCACAUUCAUGUACAUAUCAUGUUUGUUGUUCACAUGAAGAUGAUAAACUCCAACUAUGUUUUUCUCUAUAGAACAAUGACCAAUCCCCGGUUCAUU